AAUUGCUUGAGCUUGUACACCCAAAUCGGGUACAGCCCAUCCAAAUUAAAAUAAAAGAGCAAAAAAUAUCCUAAGACUAUUCUAGAAACCCGAUGGACACAAGAAAAAUGAAGUCAAAAAAGGUAAAAGUAAAAUCAUUUGGAGCUAAGUCAGAUUGACCUUCUUCAUCAGAGCCUUCAUUUACAUCGAUAUGGUUUCCAAAUCAAGUGCAGCAGCUGAUUGAAGAGUUUAUCAGGCUAUUGUAGCUGACAAUCGAUGUACGAAGAUGAGUUUUGGUGAAUUUCACUGUUAACAUUCCAAAUUCUCACGAACAUCAUGUAAUCGAUCCAAGUGAAGACUUCUUCAACUCACCUAACAAUCGAUUUGAGCUUCUCUAACCAGAUAAGUGUCUUUCCUAUUGAAUCAAUGCCUUAUUCAGGAAAAAAUAUCAAUUCCUCACACCCUUUUACCCUUUUGACAGAUUGAGCUCGUAUCGCAGCUGAUACCACUGUCUAAAUGAGUAAAGUUGUGUGCAAUCUUUGAUAUUUAAUUCCUGUUGUGAAUUCUGCUGUGCAGCAAGAUGUUGCCCAUUAACCCCAUUAUCAUCAGGGCCUCCAGUUCUGGCCAACCAUAGAAAAAUUUGCCUAUUACUGCGAGUUGAAGAUCCUGUUCAUCUUUUUCACCUCAUCUUCUGUCCAAAAGAUUCUUGGAAUACCAUCAUUGUAAUUGAUACAUCUUUGUUAAGCUGUUUAGAAUGUAUCUCAGGUUUAAGCAAAUCAACAAAUUUAGUCUGUUUUCCUUCUGUAUUAUUAGAUGACUGGCCCAUUGCAAUCUCAUUAGUAGGCAAAUUCUCCA